GAAACUUGUAAUCCUCCUGCUUUCGCCUCCAGUUGCUGGGAUGACAGGCAACUCAUCCUUCCUCCAGUGAUUCAGGGGACAGCGCUGACACCGAUCCGACCUUCACCCCGAGUUCUAAUGUUAGCAGAGUGCUUUGGCAAAGCCUGAAGCAGCCAUGCCUCAGUCGGGUCUGUGAUCUCUAAGCGGUGCUCUGCAGAAUGCCCUGCCUGGGGAAUCCUGAAAAGCACCGAGUAUGGUGAGUCAAAGUCCGUGAGAUCAGCACCUGGUCAAAGAGCCUUUAUCGGGAAAUUUAAAUGACGCUACCCAAGAAGAGGGUCUGCAAAGGCACAGACUGAGGCAAAAUGCAGAGCCAGAGCACUUGCUGCUUUAGUCCAGCCAUAAGGUGGGUCUGAAGACAUGGAAAGCCUGUGGGAUGCAUUAACUGGAAGAAGUGACGGACUUCCUGAGACGGUCCCACAGGGUCUCCCACAGCGUGUGAAAGAGGAAAGCAAAUUUGCCUCUAAUGCAGCCCCAUGCUGUAUCAGUUGCACGUGUUCUUUCUCAUCAUUGUUCACACAAAACAUUCCUUUCCUGCCCAAUCUUUAGGAGGUGGUUAGUCUGGACUAGCAGAAGGGCAUUGGUUCUUAGAGUUGGAUGUGAGUUUGAAUCCACAUCCUUCAGACUGUGUGAGCCUGGGCCCGUGAGUGCCCUGAGUUCCAGCCCCCUCUUCCAUGCACAGGGAUGGUGCACAGCAGUGCACAGCAGUGGCGGCCAUCCUUAGUGAGGAAGCCAGAGGCUUCAGACAGCCAUCAGUCAUGGCUCACAGCACACUGCAGCACCGAAGUCCACCAGGGUGGCUGCCCUGACUGGCACAAAUAACUGGCACAGGCACUCACUGUCACACACCUGAACUUCCUAAAAUUUUCUGUUCAGAGAUUAAACUAGAUCUCAAAGAGUUCAAAAAGAGUAAACUUACAGGAUCUCGUCUCCUAAGUGAAAACCUGUCUGUCCUGAACUUCAUGAGUCCUAAUUUCAGGGGUAUUGGUGCCAAUGUGGGUCCAAAGCUAAAAUGAUGUAGAAUCCUUGCUAAAUAUAGGUUGUUCAUAAAUGUCUUCUGCCCUCUUUCCUUUCUCUGUCUUCUCAUUCACUCACUGACCAUCCAUUUCAUUCCUCCUACUUACCACAGGUCUGUUUUUAAGAGUAUGUGUUAACUUUCCUUGACAGAAUCAAAACUUGGAGAUGCAUUUGUCAUGAUUGCAUGAUUUGUCAUGAUGAAGCGAGUCAGAGGUGGGUAGGCCAGCUUCCUGGGAGGUCAGAGUUGACAGUGGUGUUAUUGCUAACUGUAUGGAAGUAUUGGAAUCCUAAGGGGGUUACAAUAGAGUAUGGAGGGGCUUCUGACGCAGGGAUAUAAUGAGCUAAACUGGAUUAAUAACCAAUGGUAUUUUUAUUUUCAAACACUGGCUUCAAAUUGCAUAAUGCUAAAGACAAACUGGUGUUUGACUGAACACAAUGUCCUUGGCAGGACUGAGUGUCUGAGCUUCUUAUCCAACCAAGUGCUCAAAAUGGGAAAUAUUUCAUUAAGAAAAAAAAAAAAAAAAAAAGACAAUUUUUAAGACCAGAUAAUUUUGUGGGUAACAUAAUCAGAGUGACUUUCUGAAUCAGACUGACUGGACUGAUACCCCAGUUCCACCACCUCUAAAGGUUUGGUGAUCAUGGACAAGUAACAUAAGCCAGUCUCCUCAUUGUUCCCCGUGGAGUGGGACUCACUGAUAACUCUAGCACAGUGAAGCACUUGCCACAAUGCCUGGCUCAAGACAUGUCCUGAGUCAAUGUUUACCUCUUUUGCUAUUAUUACAUACUACUGGAGUAAACUUUAAAAGCAACCAUAGAUUAAAAUCAGUCAAACUGAGACUGUUCAGCUAUAUAGCCAGGAUAUUAGUUGUUUGUUUUAAACUUUCAAUAAAUUUGCUUUAAUGUGGUUGAAUUUUCUGUCAGGCCAAUUUUAAGGGAAAUUUGAGAGGUGAGAUCUGGUUCUGGUGCCUGAGCCCACGGCCUUAAGCCAGGGCAAGGUCUCCUCUAGGGUUGUGCCUACGCAGUUCAUCAGCAAAUGAUGAUCACGUUAGGAUUCUUACCUGAAGAUCAAGUGUUAAUCUUUAUGAUCAUGUUCAUUGAUAGAUAAUAGUUUAAAAAAGAAUCUUUGUUGGACUGGGGGUGUAGUAAAAUGGUAAAAGCACUUCCUAGCAUGUAUGAAGCCCUGGACCCUAACCCCAGCACUGCAAAAAACAAAACAGAAUAAAAAAAAUAAUUUUAAAGAAUGUUAUUUUUUCUUACAUUUAGUUGACUGAAGUACAUUUGUUUGGAUAAACCUAGGUAAAAUGGUAUUGUUUUCCCAGGGGAAAGGGAAGAUGAUUAAUAUUGACUUCCUAAACAGAUACACAUCAAGUGUUUAUCCUGCCCAGCCCUGAGUUUGGACUUAGGGAUGAGAUGCAAACAGCUCAUGGUUUGUAUCUGAGCUUAUUAUUCUAUUGAAUUAAAAUGCAUUAGGACUUUGGGGACAUGAAGUGAAGAUUCAACGAGAAGGGAGGUUUUGGGGUUAACCAAGACAAAGACAGGGAGAUGCAGAUUCCAAAACAGACAAAUGAAUGCACAUAUUUACUUCAAAUACAAGCACUUCCUAAAAAUGGUAUGUAUGCACACUGGAUUUAUGGGUUGAAUUUGUUGCAGUUUAUUUAGUUGAGACAAAUGAUCAUAUGAAGAUUUUCCUCAUUCAGAACUUUCAGAAUGUCAGAAGACCGUAUUUCAAAACUAAAUUAGUUCAGGUAGCACUGAUUUUGAAUUUAUCUUCUUUUGAGCAUGGACUGGAUUAAAGUUAUUUUUGGCUUUUUGAAAAUAGAACUCUUGUCAAAACUAAGGAAGAUUACAAGGGGAACAGGUAAGUUUCUCAAGGGAGAGAAUUUAUAAAGCAAAAAUAGAUUCGCUUGUUAUGAAGAUGAUUAUACAAAACCUACACGUUAGCCUUUUUUUGGUGAGACAUCAUCAUAUGGACUUUACCAAUCAAUACUUUGUUCUCAUGGACAGUUACUCUACAAAGUUGGAAAUAGUAAAAUUGCUUUUCUUUAAAAGCUUUCUAUCCUGCUAUCUCUUCUCUCUUUUGGAUGGAUCUUACAACUAUCUACUGUACUCCAUGAAUAUGUUUGAAACUUUUUACUUUUUUGACUACUAGAGACAAAACUAUGGUUUCCAAAAGCAUUGAUGGACCAGUUUUGGGGAUCUCUGAAAAACCCCAGGUGUGAGUUGGUCUGAGUUGUGCCCAGAUGCAUGUGCUUUGGAAGAGCUCCCUAGCUUCUUGGAUGUGAGGGGAAUCGGGGAGCUGCAUAGCAUCACUGCCUGCUCCCAUCUUGCCACUAGGCUGGAAUCUCCCUGUACCAUUGGCCUGGAUCCCUCAGAGUCUUCUCAUUCAACUUCCUGGCCCAGGUGUUGAUGUGGGACACAGUCUCCUCCUGACGGACCCUGUUCGAUCUCUGGAGCCUCAAAAGCUGCCGCUCCUCCACCUGCAUCCUGCUCACCAGCUGUGCGGUGACUCUGUGUUCUCUAAGUACCCUGGUCUCUCAAGCUUCCGUACUUCUGCAUAUGCUGUCUGCUCUGCCUGGAACUCUGUAUCUCCAUGUUCACAGGCCCCAUCCCUAGUUAUUGUCAAGACAUAAAGCAUCACACCUCCUGGAAGCCUGUUGCCUGCUGAGUGAGGGUCUGUGAUUCUCAGGUAUCAGCCCUUAUAAAACUGCACUCUGAAAGGGAUUUUCUUGUGUGUUCCUUCCUGAGGCACAAGCCCCUUGACAGUGAGGACAGUGCACCUCUGUAUUUUUAGCACUUGGUAUGGGUCUAGAGUAUAGGAGGGCUCGGUCAAUAUGUUCAAGUAAUACAAACCAGGAGCCUUUUUCUAGCACUGCAAAAGGACUUGUUGAUAUUAAAAUGGGCAGUCACUACUGCACUCUCAACUUUGUUCUGUUCUAUGCGUAAAACACUGGUUUUUCUAAUAAUAUACUAUAAACCUCUUUCUAUUUUAUUAUACUUUAAACAUUAUAUCUUUAAACAUGUUAGGAAAAUUAAAUCUUAGACCACUGGCGAAGAGAACUAAGGGAUCAUUGUGUUGCAUGUUCGGUUGCCUGGAGAGUUACAUGUAUUUAACAUUUUAAAUUUGGUUCUGUGAAAUGGGCGGCAGAAUGCAAAAACCUGUUAUAGCAAAUUAUGAUGUGAUAAAUUUAUCUACGAGAAACUUCACAAGAAACAUGAGGGUAAGACUGUUACCUCUUCUGUAAAGGAGAUGGCGCUUUGCUGUAGCUCAUCCAGAUAAGGCGAUACUCCCAGCAAAGAGACUGCGAGGCUAACAGACACACGCCAACCUAAAGGAGGCCAGCUGCCAGGGGAAGGAGGGCGGGCGGAACGCGUGCGUGGGCCUGGGAGAGGGCGUAGCCCAGGCCACGGCUUCUCAUUUUUAUCUUUUCAUGAUCUACAGAUUAAUCAGUAACUUUGAUGGAGACAAACACAGAUGGUCAGAGUUGUGAAGACCCAAAGCAGACCCGACAGAUGACUGAUGUCAAAUAGACUUCUCAGCCAAGGAUCAGCCAACUAAGCAAUGUUUAAUAUACACAAUGAGAAUUCUUCUAAGUAGCGGUAAAACAUCAGCCUCACAAGAAUAGGAUAAUAGUGACUUGGAUCAUCAGUUGCUAAAAUGGAAAAGACCCCAGGGUUUUAACCGAUCCCAAGGUUGGUUUUAAUUUCUGUGGACAGUUUCUAGCAGGUGCUAGAAAGGAAGGAACCUUCCAAGAACGCAUCAUCUAGUAACUACAUCUGCACAAGCCUGCAUCUGACCAACCACCUGGAAUAGUGAGGACCGGUGGGGCUACAUAGCAACCCAUCUCCCAGGAUCUCCUUAUCAGGUGACUUGAAACAACUAGGAGGAAGAAUAAAUUUCUCACCAAAACAUGCCCCCUGUUGACUCGAAGACAGAGAAAGACAAAACUGCAUAGUAAUUGAGAAAACAAGGAAAAUCCCUCAGUCAGUGUGUGGUCUCACUCGGCCACCCCUCCCCACUUAGCUGUAAGAAUUUUUAGGGACAGACCAAGAAAAGCAGCAUGAAAGAAAGAAGAGGGAGACUGGCGAAGGGUGAGUUAAGCAAGCCCUAGACUGACUAAAUGCACCAUAUGUUAGAAAAUCAGAACAAGCAUCUAAGCAGAUCAGGGCACAGAGCACUGAAGAGGAAUUUCAAGUACUAGCAACUUCAAGGACCAAGCACCCCUGCAAGGAUUGUCCAAUAUUAAAGGGACAGAGGGACAGGUGUAAUUUAACAGGAUAAGCUACAUUUAAAGAGGAUCUUUGCAAUCUGUGACUUUAGGAGGAAAUGGGACAAAAGGAAGGCAGACACACCAUUUGGUAAUUUGUCAAUGAAGGGGAAAAGAAGAAAGAAAGGGAAAAAUUUAGAGUCCUAUAAGAUAAAAGAGAACUAUAAAAUUGGAGGGCUCAAAACCCUUCCCACAUCAUUAAACAGAGAGAAAACAGUUAACUACCUGAACUUUUCUGUUCUUUCAGAAGAGGGCAACAUUAAGUGAGGAAUCUAGUGAAACACCCAAUGUAGAAACAAAGAUGAAGUAGAGAUGUUCAGGUAGAUAAAUGGAAGGAGGAAGGAAAAAAGGGAAGGAGGGA